GAUGAACGCUGGCGGCGUGCCUAAUACAUGCAAGUCGAGCGAACAGACGAGGAGCUUGCUCCUCUGACGUUAGCGGCGGACGGGUGAGUAACACGUGGAUAACCUACCUAUAAGACUGGGAUAACUUCGGGAAACCGGAGCUAAUACCGGAUAAUAUAUUUAACCGCAUGGUUCAAUAGUGAAAGACGGUUUUGCUGUCACUUAUAGAUGUAUCCGCGCCGCUUUAGCUAGUUGUUAAGGUAACGGCUUCCCAAGGCAAGAAUGAGUAGCCUACCGGAGAGGGGGAUCGGCAAAACGGGAACUGAGACACGGUCAAGACUCCUACGGGAGGCAGCAGUAGGAAAUCUUCCGCAAUGGGCGAAAGCUUGACGGAGCAACGCCGCGUGAGUGAUGAAGGUCUUCGGAUCGUAAAACUCUGUUAUUAGGGAAGAACAAAUGUGUAAGUAACUAUGCACGUCUUGACGGUACCUAAUCAGAAAGCCACGGCUAACUACGUG
rnacentral:rRNA from 1 species